rnacentral:rRNA from 1 species
GACGGAAGGUGCAAGCGUUGCUCGGAAUCACUGGGCGUAAAGGGUGCGUAGGCGGCCGUGCAAGUCUGGCGUGAAAGCCCCGGGCUCAGCCCGGGAAGUGCGCUCGAAACUGCGCGGCUCGAGUGCCGGAGGGGAGAGUGGAAUUCCUGGUGUAGCGGUGAAAUGCGUAGAUAUCGGGAGGAACACCGGUGGCGAAGGCGGCUCUCUGGACCACUACUGACGCUGAGGCGCGAAAGCUAGGGGAGCAAACAGG